rnacentral:misc_RNA from 1 species
UUUCCGUAGGUGAACCUGCGGAAGGAUCAUUAACACGAACAAAAUGUUCCAAAACCUUUUUGGAUCAACGCCAACCUUCGAAAAGGCGAACCUAGUUGUAUUUUUCUCCUUUUUCUAUUUCGUUUUUCUCAAACGCAACUUCUCAUGGAAAUUGACUAGAAUCGUGUGAUUUGUUCCAAUCCUAUCACCUCUUUCUCCUCUCCUCUCCUCGUGAGAUGAGAUGGGAUGUGAGAUGGGAGAUGGGGGGUGGGUUUGGAACUAACCAUUCCUAACGCUAAAACAACUCUUAACAACGGAUAUCUUGGCUCUC